UACGUAGGGCGCAAGCGUUGUCCGGAAUUAUUGGGCGUAAAGAGCUCGUAGGUGGUUUGUCGCGUUGUUCGUGAAAACUCACAGCUCAACUGCGGGUCUGCAGUCGAUACGGGCAGGCUAGAGUUCGGUAGGGGAGACUGGAAUUCCCGGUGUAGUGGUGGAAUGCGUAGAGAUCGGGAGGAAUACCAGUGGCGAAAGCGGCACCCUGGCGUCGAACUGACGCACAUGUGCGAAAGCGUGGGGAGCGAACGGG
rnacentral:rRNA from 1 species